GACGAUGCUUUCACAAGGGCUGACGAAUUUGAUACCAGCAUGGUAAAAGAGUGGGCACAUGAUAUAAGAGAAUGGGCACAGAGGUGCUUCUGUUUUGUGGGCAACACCAAUGUAGCCCUCUCCUCUGAGAGGCGUAAGGCAGCACUACUCCGUAUUGACGGAAAACUGGUGGAAUUGGGCACCAAGGAGUUGGGACCGCUUGCACAGGGCAAAUUGUUUAGGGAAGCAUUCCUCAAAGAACUUAACAAGCAUGUAAACAUUUUCACCUCACUAAAUAAGGCUCAAACUUCCAUGAAGCGAGUCUUCAGGGGCUACCCCAGUAGGGGUGUUUUUGGACGGGCUGGCCGCUACAGGGGCCGAGCAGCCAGCCGGUUUUGGCCCUCCGGCCCCCGCUCACACAGACCCCAACCCUUCUACCCGGGAGUGGGCGUCAGGCAGCCUUUCUCCUACACCCGUGGAGCCGACAGAGGCAGAGGACCUCGUGGCCGUGGCAGAGCACGCUUUCCCACAGCUAAGCAACAUAAUGUCUCAAUGUCCUCUUACCCCGUGUACUGCAGGUCGUAUCGCUCUGUCUUUUCAGAACUGGACAGCCAUCUCCACGGACGCAUGGAUCCUUCAGACGGUUCGGGGCUACAUCAUAGAUUUCGUGGAAACCCCAGACCACUCCUCCGCACCCCAUUCAGUGCUCCAACGAGGAUCGCCACCUAAUCGAUGGCGAACUAUGGGAACUCAGGGCGAAAGGAGCAAUAGAACCCGCUCACGACAAAAACGGCUUCUUCAGCAACAUUUUUCUAGUAAAGAAGAAAUCCGGAGACUUCCGGCCGGUUAUAAACCUAAGGAGGCUCAACUUUUUCGUGAGGUACAGACAUUUCAAGAUGGAAGGCAUCCAUCUUCUAAGAGAUCUGCUCCAAGACAGGGACUGGUUCACAAGACUGGACCUCAAGGACGCCUACCUAUCGGUACCCGUCCAUACGUCUUGCCGACAAUUCCUCAGAUUCCGAUGGCAAGGUCGCCCCUGGCAGUUCACAUGCCUCCCCUUCGGCCUCAGCUCAGCACCGUGGUGCUUCACCAAGCUCCUCAAGCCGGUAGUAUCACAACUACGAACUCAAGGAAUUCGUUGCAUUAUCUACCUGGACGACCUGCUACUUUUUUCCUCAGACAGGUACAGUCUAACACAACACACACGAUAUACCAUUCAACUCCUGACGUCCCUAGGCUUCGUGGUGAACUACCAAAAAUCGGAGCUGCUCCCAGCCCAGACGAUACACUUCCUGGGCUUCGAGAUAGACUCCAAGACCAGCGCCUUACGGCUCCCGAUCUCAAAGAUCACAGCCAUCAAAAAGGAACUACGCAGAGUCAUCCGCUGCAACACCAUUCCACUCCGCAGCC